GUUGCCGCUCUAUAAACGAUGAUGACAAAUACAACUCCCCGAUUCCAAUCAUCCCACCACCAGUCUUUGGGUUACCGAAGCACGACUUUGAGGAACAGGUUUUGGACGACGACUACCGAAAAAAAGACACAGAAGUGGACGAGUACAAUGGUGAUGAUUCCCAAGAGAACGAGGUCCCUGCCAAAAGAAUUGGCAUGAAGGAAGCCGAGCAUAGGAGGGAGGUAAUUCAAAU